rnacentral:rRNA from 1 species
UACGUAGGGUGCGAGCGUUGUCCGGAUUUAUUGGGCGUAAAGGGCUCGUAGGCGGCGUGUCGCGUCGGGAGUGAAAGCCCGUUGCUUAACGGCGGGUUGGCUUUCGGUACGGGCAUGCUGGAGUGCGGCAGGGGAGACUGGAAUUCCUGGUGUAGCGGUGGAAUGCGCAGAUAUCAGGAGGAACACCGGUGGCGAAGGCGGGUCUCUGGGCCGUUACUGGCGCUGAGGAGCGAAAGCGUGGGGAGCGAACAGG